rnacentral:lncRNA from 1 species
GUAUAUUGUAUAAUAGAUUUAUUAUGUCUUGUCUAUCUUAAGUUUGGUUAAACUGCCUACUGGGAAAACAUUAUUACAUGUUUACAUUCCCAAUUACUACUAUAAGUCAAUUAUGUGUGAAAAAUUUCAAUUUCAUGGGUUUUAAUCUGGGUUUUAAUCCCCCAGGAUGUGAAACAUUAGAAUUUGUGUAUAUAAAUGAAGAGAUAUGAAAAUUUUAUCCUCAGUACUGUACGUCCCAGUUACUUAAUUAAAGACAAUAGAAAUAUUAAAUUAGGGUAAUAAAUAUCCCCCCCCCCCCCAAAAAAAAAAAAUGAACAUUGAGAAGUUCUCACUCUGAUACAUAUUUCAAUGAUCAAUUUAAUCAUCUUUUAUAAAUUAGAUGUGAGGACAUGCAUGGAUAGUUUUAAAACUCUUUCUUAACUUGGAAAAAGCACCUGGUUCCCUUAAGAACACAACAUUUCAGGGGGAGGAUGCAGAGCCUCUAUAUAUUUACUCUUCUCCUGGAUACUGAUUUGUGAACAUGUAAAAAAUAAGGCAGCUAAUGCACUUAUGUAACCUCAACAGCGAAAAUGACAAAUGUAUAAUUUUAUUUACUUUUUUCAAUUUCUCAUUGAUGUGUUGUAAAUUUUCUGUUAGAAACUCACACGACUCUCUAUCUAAACUAGUGUGACAGUAACACAAGACUGUUUUAUCUUAAUUUUGCAUAUUUUUUUUCUAGGUGUACAACUGUGCAAGUAUUGAACAUCAGCUUGAAAUGCAAUGUGACCUAAAAGACAGUAUAAUAAUGGACAGAUGUAAGUAAUGAUAAAAUAGUCAAUGAUAUGGGAAAUGUAUGAAAUUGUAAGAAAAAGUUGACAGGCAUAUUGUUUUACACCUGUCCCUCCGUCGGUCAGUUAACUAUAUAUAUAGGUCAAAGUACAGCCUUCAGCAAUGAUCAUACUGCAUAGUCAUAUAUAAAAAAGGCCCUGAAAUUACAAUUGUAAAAUAAUUCCAAACUAAUGACCUUAAUAUUAAUAUACAAAUAAAAUAACUAAAAACAAAUAUGCAACACAGCAACAAACAACAACCACUGAUUGUCCAGGUUCCUGACUUGGGACAGGCACAGAAGAUAGCAGGAUUAAACAUGUUAGUGGGAUCCAAGCCCUAAUAAAAUCAUAUUUUAGUUAUUCUCCUCAAGAAAAUCUAAUAUAAUGUAAUUAACAUCAACCAUUGUCAACACUUUUAAAUGUUGUACUUAACUUUAUAUAUAAAGAAGAUGUGGUAUGAUUGUCAAUGAGACAACUUUCCACAAGAGACCAAAUGACACAGAAAUUAAAAACUAAAGGUCACUGUACCCUCUUCAACAAUGAGCAAAGCCCAUACUGCAUAGUCAGCUAUAAAAGGCCCCAAAAUGACAAAUGUAAAACAAGAAAACUAACCGCCUAAUUUAUGUACAAAAAAAUGAAGAAAAAAAAAUAUGUAACACUUCAACAAUUGACAACCACUGCAUUACAGGCUCCUGACUUGGAACAGGCACAUACAUUACAUUGUACCUUAAUAUUUUAAUUCGCAUAUUGGUAUACAAUCUAUUGUAUGUUUUUUUCUUUUUUUCUUUAAAAAGUUAUAUGCAAGUGGGGGCAUAAUCUGUGUCCCAUGGACCCAAUCAUGACAUUUAUUUAUUCAGAGAAUUUUGAAAGGAAUAAAUAAUGAAUAAUUUUUCAUAAUUUUUUUUCAUCUUUAGAAAAGUCGUCUCCUGAAACAACUGAGACAAAUCUACCUAAAUUUGGCCACACUCAUCAUUAGGGUAUGUAUAUAUAGUUUUAAAUGUGUUUGAUGACCCUGCCAACCUACAUGGCAGACAUGGCUAAAAAUAGAAAAUAGGAGGAAAAUGCAGUGUUUACUUAUAUCUCUGAAACUAAAGCAAAAGUAUAACAGUUGCAUUAUUUCAUGCAUCAAUUGUAAAUGAGAAUAUCAGGUGAGCGAUAAAGGCCCAUUGGAGCCUCAACUUUCUAUAGCCAUUAUUGUUAUAGCUGGUCAGUGGUCAUAAACCUAUGAAAAUAAGUCAAUUAUUUAACCUCAGAGCACUACCAACAGAUUCUUAUCCAGUGUAUUUGAUCAUGUUGAUGAAUAAAUGCUAUUACAACUCGUUAACAGGGCAAGAUAUGGACAUUUAUUUUUCCUCUGGUUUUAUAAUAUAAAGAAAAAACAAACAAAAAAACAUUAAAGAAUAUCAGGGAUUUACGGGAACUUGAAGUAAUUGAAAACUUGUUCAAAUCCCAAACUGCACUUUAACUUUACUUUGCAUCAACCAUUAAGUGUUGUGAAAUGUUUACACAAUGCUUGUUAACACCAAACACUGAUCAAGUCACUUUCGUCAUUCUCAUAUUAUCAUGAAUAUGUUACUUUUUUAAUAGGAAAAAGGAUAUAUAUUAGAGAUAUAUUUACAAGCAGGGACAUCUGUGUCCCAUGGACACAUUCUUGUUUUAUUUAUUACAUAUUUUAGUGUAUUAAAGUAAUUAUACUGCUUCCACCUUUCAAUAUUCUAACAAAGCUCUAUCUCAUUAAUGGAUAAAUAAAUGAUACUAGUCAAGACCUCAACAGAUAAUUUUUUUUCAGGUUCUCUGGUCGUAAGAACCUGUUGGCCACACACAUGAAGAUUUUCAUUGAUCCUGCUUUCAGCUAAAUAUCAGAAAAAUUAAGAACAAAGGAAAAUAUGCUGAAACUGUACAGUCACCGGUCAGGAUUAUUUCAGAAGUGAAAUUAUAAUACAAUUUAUUUUACUGGUUUAUUCCUUUGAUUUGUAAUUUUAAACAACACACAGAGGCUUUGCAUUAUUGUUUUACAAGAGAGACACCAAAAGAUGCGGUCAACAUUUAUCAUUUUUAUCAAAAUACGCCCAGGACAAACCAUGGAUACAUUUAACUUGAAAUAUGGUGCUUUCAUACCAAAAUUGCCUGGAAGUAAAAGAAAUAAAGAACCAUUCAUGUCAGCAAUCAGGGGAUAAGAUGAAAGAAUGCAGAAUAAGGUACUGUAAUAUUCAGUCUUAAUAAGAGUCCUGCUUCUCUAUAUACAUAUGCUUUUUGUUAUGCCCCGUCGUAGCGGAGGGGGCAUUAAGUUUUAUCCUUGUAUGUUUGUACAUAAUAUUAGAUAUAAGGAAGAUGUGGUAUGACUUCCAAUGAGACAACUCUCCAUCCAAGUCACAAUUUGUAAAAGAAAAACAAUUAUAGGUCAAAGUACAGUCUUCAACACAGAGCCUUGGAUCAC